AUGAACAGUUGAGAGCAUAGAAGGUGGGGUCUUCCAUGCUUAGAGAUGCAGACUUACAUAUUUAGGCAAUGGAGAAACAGUCUCAGGAAACACAACAUAAUCAGUGGCCCUUCAUCUAUAAACUUGAGGCAAGGGAAAAAGUGAAGGCAACAGUCUGUCAUUGGAGGAGUAGGAGCAGGAACCCGAUGAAGAAACCUGGAGGUGUACCUUGCUGCAACAAACACCGAAGAGCAAAGUGGAAAACACUUCCUGAAACAAAAGGCUGAAAACAGUCUCCCGGCUGCAGCAGCACAGGCAGUCUUUAACAUUGGUCCCAUUGAUUAUUGUCUUUCUGCAACCUCCGGGAGCCCCUGCCACUCCAUGGAGCACUCUACUGUUCAUACAGAUGACUUGCAACUGAUCCAGUCAUGGCUGAUCCAGCUUGCUCCUGACCGAUAAACUCAGCCUCGGCACGUGCUCAUGCUUUGAGCAGUUGGUUCUCGCCGGGUGGUGCUCUUCGGAGAGAUUGUACAGCCUAGAGAAGGUGGAGCCUUGCUGCUGGAGGAGGGUCACUCAGGUGGGCUUUGAGGAUGACAGCCUGACCUGGCUCGUUUCCACAUCGACACAGACCCUGGCCACAGUAGGUGGCCUUGGACCCAGGCAACACCAUGGGAUCAGCACAGGCUACCCACCUCAAAAUGCCUCCCCCGGUCCCCUGCCCCUCUAGACACCAACAUGGUUUCGCCUCAGCAUAGACUGUGUUCAUCCAAAGGGCGUUAGGUGGUAAUACUGGCCUUGGAUGUCUACCUGGUCCCCAGCUACAUCAGGACCACUGACCCACAUAUGGCCCUUAGCUGCAUCAAGGACCACGGUGGUCCUUCCGGGAUAUUCUGUCCAGAAAGUGAACCGUUCCUCAUCUCAGGCCGCCAUCAUUUCCCAGAGCCAGGGUGUUGACGCUACUAUGUUCGAGGACUGAGUCUGCAUCUCCUUAAACUUCAGGCUGCCAUGCACUAUCCUACGCAACUUCCUGGGCAACCAUUGCCACGGACCCGCUGGGCAACUACCGGUUCUGCUGCUGACCUCAGCCUACCCUUAGAUCUGUCACUGCAUUUUGUCUCCAGUUCUGCCUCGCUCCACAAUGCACGCACGCAUUACUCCACUCUUCUUUCUUUCCCUCUUCUCCAUUCCAUAGUCGUUUGCUGAGGUGGCGUCCUCUUCCCGGCUUCCAAAAGGUGGGGCAGGGUGGGUUAGAAUCUAGGUUAUUUUCGUCAGUCAUUCUGUUACUUUCACAUCCCAGCUGAUAGCACACCUCUACCUUACAUGCAUUCCUAAAUAUUAAAUAAAUUAUAAAAUACCUUCUAAAACUGCAAUUGCAAUGCUUUUCCAGAUUCAUUUUUGCUUUAAGAAAGAAAGUAAGAAAGAAAGAAAGUA